rnacentral:sRNA from 1 species
GGAAGCCGGGGAGUAGGGCUGGACUGUGGCCACUGCCCUGGAGAGAAGACAGAAACAGGACAGAGGAUCCCGGCUGCAGCCAGCGUGAGGAAAGCUCCUCCGUUCCCUGCCAGACUGGCCAGCUGUGGAAACCCAGCCGGGCUUGCAGCAGAGUGGAGGGGCCCACCCCGUUCUUCCUCAUUUCCUGCCCCUGGUGUGGGAUUUGGGGGGCUCCUGGGCAGAGUGCGAAGCUCCGGAGCCGAGGCCGCCGGAUCCCCGGUGACUGCUCAGGGGGGUCCCGCUGCGUGGAGAUGCCGGCAGCACGUCGGUUCCCUGGCCUGGAGCUCUCCUUCCCUCUCCUGGCCAGACUGCGGCGACGCCUGUACACAAGGCUGGGAGGCGGCAGCAUGCAGCCAGAGGAGGGCACAGGCUGGCUGCUGGAGCUGCUGUCCGAGGUGCAGCUGCAACAGUACUUCCUGCGGCUCCGAGAUGACCUCAAUAUCACCCGCCUGUCCCACUUUGAGUACGUCAAGAAUGAGGACCUGGAGAAGAUCGGCAUGGGCCGGCCUGGCCAGCGGCGGCUGUGGGAGGCUGUGAAGAGGAGGAAGGCCUUGUGCAAACGCAAGUCGUGGAUGAGUAAGGUGUUCAGUGGAAAGCGACUGGAGGCUGAGUUCCCCGCUCAUCACUCUCAGAGCACCUUCCGGAAGACCUCGCCCGCCCCUGGGGGCCCAGCAGGGGAGGGACCCCUGCAGAGCCUUACCUGCCUCAUUGGGGAGAAGGACCUGCGCCUCCUGGAGAAGCUGGGCGAUGGCUCCUUUGGCGUGGUGCGCAGGGGCGAGUGGGACGCGCCCUCAGGGAAGACGGUGAGUGUGGCUGUGAAGUGCCUGAAGCCCGAUGUCCUGAGCCAGCCGGAAGCCAUGGACGACUUCAUCCGGGAGGUCAAUGCUAUGCACUCGCUCGACCACCGAAACCUCAUCCGCCUCUACGGGGUGGUGCUCACGCCGCCCAUGAAGAUGGUGUGCCCCUGAGAGCCUGAAGACACGCACCUUCUCCCAUGCCAGCGACACCUGGAUGUUCGGGGUGACACUGUGGGAAAUGUUCACCUACGGCCAGGAGCCCUGGAUCGGCCUCAACGGCAGUCAGAUCCUGCAUAAGAUCGACAAAGAGGGGGAGCGGCUGCCUCGGCCCGAGGACUGUCCCCAGGACAUCUACAAUGUCAUGGUCCAGUGCUGGGCUCACAAGCCAGAGGACAGACCCACGUUUGUGGCCCUGCGGGACUUCCUGCUGGAGGCCCAGCCCACGGACAUGCGGGCCCUUCAGGACUUUGAGGAAGCGGACAAGCUGCACAUCCAGAUGAAUGAUGUCAUCACCGUUAUCGAGGGAAGGGCCGAGAACUACUGGUGGCGUGGCCAGAACACGCGGACGCUGUGUGUGGGGCCCUUCCCUCGCAACGUGGUGACCUCCGUGGCCGGCCUGUCGGCCCAGGACAUCAGCCAGCCCCUGCAGAACAGCUUCAUCCACACGGGGCAUGGCGACAGUGACCCCCGCCACUGCUGGGGCUUCCCGGACAGGAUUGACGAACUGUAUCUGGGAAACCCCCUGGACCCCCCCGACCUGCUGAGCGUGGAACUGAGCACCUCCCGGCCCCCCCAGCAUCUAGGAGGGGUGAAAAGUAAGAGCUCCCCUCUGCUCCCUAGUGUCCCUAACUCAUCGGCUGCUCAGGAAGGGGCACUGUCUUCACAGACCACCCUGAGCCUGCUGUUCUGGCUCUGGGGACAGUGGGGUCAGGGCAGCAGGCGGGACAGCUGUGUCCCUGGCUCCCGCUGGGCGUGGGGUGGAAGACAGGCAGCUGUAUCCGCCGAGGUGGGCCUCCUCGAGCUGGGUCUGCAGCAAGCCCGUCUGCCCUGGAGUCCCUCCUCCCUCCUUCCACAGCCGAGCUCAGAUUCUGGCUUUCCUCACUUCCCCCUAACCCUGCUCUCCUGUCCCAAUCCAAAACCACCCCAUGGCUCCGGCUCCACCUAGAGCCUCCUCCAUCUCCCGGUCCUCUGCCUGUCAUACCGGACCGCCGUGUUCCUCAUCCUGCCGCCCACGGCCUCCCGUUUGCUGGGGGCUUGUACACUCACCCGCCCCCAUUCACUUCUCUCCCUUCCUGUUUCUCUACACUCUGUCCUCUCGUCCGGCCGUCUCCCUCCUUUGUCCUCUGUCCUGCUCCGUCCCUCUCCCCCUGUCCGCAUGGCCUUUCUUGCAGGGGAGCCUCCACCUCGCCCACCUCAGCCUGCCUUCUUCACUCAGAGUAAGUGGGGCUGCUUCCGAUGCCUUGGCCCCCGCCCCCGCCCCCUCUCUCUCACUCCUCUCCUGGAAGGUACAGAGCCCGGGCGGCUGGGCCGGAGGGGAGGUGGGUGUGUGCUGUGAGCUUCCGCGGCUGCCCUGGCCUAGCGUGCCUGCCUCCCGAGCCUGCCCCCCGGAGCCUGGGCUUCUGGAGCACGAGUGUGGCCCUGGCUUCCGCCUCGGCCUCACUCCCUCCCAGACCUGCAGGCGCUCUCUGGGCUUCGUGGCCCUUGGUCAGGAGUGCUGUUCUCUCCAAGGAUAGUUCCUAUAGCCCCUGAUGGCAGGAGGCGGCUCCGUGCCUGCACUAAUGGUGUGCCGUGACGGGGGCGGGGAUGAGGGCUUACUAACUCACCCGGGCACAGGAGCAGGGCUGCGGGGUCUUGUGCUGAUGGAGGCAGCAGCCAGUGUUGCUUGCUCCAGCUUAGACGGAGGGAAGCGGGGCUCACCGGCCCGCACGGGGCUGCCGCGCAGAGCAGGUUCCGCCCUCCUGAUGGAGUGGUCGGAGGUGCGCUGAGAACCUGGCCGCCGAUGGCUGACCUCAGACCUCGGGGGGAGCUGGGAGUGGAGGGUUGCUGGGGGACACUCGGCUUUCUUUCCCAUGUGCCACCUCCCCUCGUGCCCCGACCCUGCCUGACUGCCUUCCUGUUGGGGUCUCCCUUUCCAUCACAGAACCAACCUAUGACCCUGUGAGCGAAGACCAAGACCCCCUGUCCAGCGACUUCAAGAGGCUGGGCCUGCGGAAGCCAGGCCUGCCCCGAGGGCUGUGGCUGGCGAAGCCCUCGGCGCGCGUGCCGGGCACCAAGGCCGGCCGAGGCAGCGGGGCUGAGGUCACGCUCAUCGACUUUGGUGAGGAGCCCGUGGUCCCGGCCCUACGGCCCUGUGCGCCCUCCCUGGCGCAGCUGGCCAUGGACGCCUGCUCCCUGCUGGACGAGACCCCGCCUCAGAGCCCCACGCGGGCACUGCCCCGGCCCCUGCACCCCACGCCUGUGGUGGACUGGGACGCACGCCCGCUGCCUCCCCCGCCCGCUUAUGACGAUGUGGCCCAGGAUGAGGAUGACUUUGAGGUCUGCUCCAUCAACAGCACCCCGGUGGGCGCGGGGGUCCCUGCCGGGCCCAGCCAGGGCCAGACCAACUACGCAUUUGUGCCUGAGCAGGCGCGGCC